rnacentral:rRNA from 1 species
UUGACGGGGACCCGCACAAGCGGUGGAUGAUGUGGUUUAAUUCGAUGCAACGCGAAAAACCUUACCCACCUUUGGCAUGUACGGAACUUACCAGAGAUGGUUUGGUGCUCGAAAGAGAGCCGUAACACAGGUGCUGCAUGGCUGUCGUCAGCUCGUGUCGUGAGAUGUUGGGUUAAGUCCCGCAACGAGCGCAACCCUUGUCAUUAGUUGCUACGAAAGGGCACUCUAAUGAGACUGCCGGUGACAAACCGGAGGAAGGUGGGGAUGACGUCAAGUCCUCAUGGCCCUUAUAGGUGGGGCUACACACGUCAUACAAUGGCUGGUACAAAGGGUUGCCAACCCGCGAGGGGGAGCCAAUCCCAUAAAGCCAGUCGUAGUCCGGAUCGCAGUCUGCAACUCGACUGCGUGAAGUCGGAAUCGCUAGUAAUCGUGGAUCAGCAUGUCACGGUGAAUACGUUCCCGGGUCUUGUACACACCGCCCGUCACACCAUGGGAGCGGGUCUCGCCAGAAGUAGUUAGCCUAACCGCAAGGAGGGCGAUUACCACGGCGGGGUUCGUGACUGGGGUGAAGUCGUAACAAGGUAACCAAGGGCGAAUUCCAGCACACUGGCGGCCGUUACU